rnacentral:tRNA from 2 species
GCCCCUGUGGUGGAAUUGGUAGACACGACAGAUUCAAAAUCUGUUGCUUUAGGGCGUGCUGGUUCGAGUCCGGCCAGGGGCACCA